rnacentral:rRNA from 2 species
UGCAGUCGAGCGAAUCAUUGGGAGCUUGCUCCCUUUGAUUAGCGGCGGACGGGUGAGUAACACGUGGGUAACCUGCCUGUAAGAUUGGGAUAACUCCGGGAAACCGGAGCUAAUACCGGAUAACAUUUUGAACCGCAUGGUUCAAAAUUGAAAGGUGGCUUUUGCUACCACUUACAGAUGGACCCGCGGCGCAUUAGCUAGUUGGUGAGGUAACGGCUCACCAAGGCAACGAUGCGUAGCCGACCUGAGAGGGUGAUCGGCCACACUGGGACUGAGACACGGCCCAGACUCCUACGGGAGGCAGCAGUAGGGAAUCUUCCGCAAUGGACGAAAGUCUGACGGAGCAACGCCGCGUGAACGAUGAAGGCCUUCGGGUCGUAAAGUUCUGUUGUUAGGGAAGAACAAGUACCAGAGUAACUGCUGGUACCUUGACGGUACCUAACCAGAAAGCCACGGCUAACUACGUGCCAGCAGCCGCGGUAAUACGUAGGUGGCAAGCGUUGUCCGGAAUUAUUGGGCGUAAAGCGCGCGCAGGUGGUUUCUUAAGUCUGAUGUGAAAGCCCACGGCUCAACCGUGGAGGGUCAUUGGAAACUGGGGAACUUGAGUGCAGAAGAGGAAGUGGAAUUCCACGUGUAGCGGUGAAAUGCGUAGAGAUGUGGAGGAACACCAGUGGCGAAGGCGACUUUCUGGUCUGUAACUGACACUGAGGCGCGAAAGCGUGGGGAGCAACAGGAUUAGAUACCCUGGUAGUCCACGCCGUAAACGAUGAGUGCUAAGUGUUAGAGGGUUUCCGCCCUUUAGUGCUGCAGCUAACGCAUUAAGCACUCCGCCUGGGGAGUACGGUCGCAAGACUGAACUCAAAGGAAUUGACGGGGGCCCGCACAAGCGGUGGAGCAUG